GGAUUAGAUACCCUGGUAGUCCACGCCGUAAACGAUGUCUACUAGGAGCUGGGGUCUUCGGACAACUUUUCCAAAGCUAACGCAUUAAGUAGACCGCCUGGGGAGUACGGCCGCAAGGUUAAAACUCAAAUGAAUUGACGGGGGCCCGCACAAGCGGUGGAGCAUGUGGUUUAAUUCGAUGCAACGCGAAGAACCUUACCAUCCCUUGACAUCCUGAGAAGUUAGCAGAGAUGCUUUCGUGCCUUCGGGAACUCAGUGACAGGUGCUGCAUGGCUGUCGUCAGCUCGUGCCG
rnacentral:rRNA from 1 species